rnacentral:lncRNA from 1 species
UGCCCACUAGUCAGGAUGCCCCCAACUUUGGCAUGGACAGGCAAAUAAGAGAUAAGAGAAUGAGAAGAACUGCCCUCUUGUGUGCAAAAUGAGGCAAGGGCAGUCCACAGCUCAGGGAAGGCAGGGACAGGUUCCCUUUGCACAGUGAGCUUCAGAAACCUCCCCAAGAAAGGCAGAGAAAUGAAAUAUCAAGAUUCACGUGCACACGACCAUCGCCGAGCAGCCCUCACAGUGCAGGUGCACUCAUGGCUCUGCUUUGCUCAGGUCUUCUGCCUUGAGACACUUCUUGUAGUGAAUUCUGUCCUCAAGGUGCUCCUAUAAAUCUCACUCACAGGACAGCUAAAAACUCCUUGAUUGCUUAUAUAAAGCGAAGAUAACACCAGCUGGGUUCAUUUGAAAGAGGACAUCUUGGAAAGAGCUGACAGCGCUGCUUUUGGAAUAAGACUGGAAUGAAAAUCUGAAAUAAUUAGCUCCUUCCUGUCUCGUAGGUAUAACCCUUACUUUCUUAUAGAAUGCAUAGGAUUAUCAUUAGAAGGAAUUGUCAGUGAUAUGUACUUUAAGACCCUUUUAUAAAUAUAUAUUUUUAAAUAGAAGUUGGGUGAAAAUGUUGAAAUUGAUUGGUUUUGUUAGAACUACUGAAUUGGAAUGAUUUUUAUUUUCUGUAAAUGGUAUUUCUUACUUCUAACUUAGUCUGUUUAGUGAUGUGUGCAUGAGGGCUGAUACUGAAGAGUGUCUACAAAGGGAAAAUAUGAGAACUGCACUCCCAAUCCCACAGGCUGUGUAUGUUUUUCCCCUGUGGGAAACAGCUUUCAGGUUUGAGG